rnacentral:rRNA from 1 species
AGUGAACGCUGGCGGUAGGCCUAACACAUGCAAGUCGAACGGCAGCACAGUAAGAGCUUGCUCUUACGGGUGGCGAGUGGCGGACGGGUGAGGAAUACAUCGGAAUCUACUUUUUCGUGGGGGAUAACGUAGGGAAACUUACGCUAAUACCGCAUACGACCUACGGGUGAAAGCAGGGGAUCUUCGGACCUUGCGCGAUUGAAUGAGCCGAUGUCGGAUUAGCUAGUUGGCGGGGUAAAGGCCCACCAAGGCGACGAUCCGUAGCUGGUCUGAGAGGAUGAUCAGCCACCCUGUAACUGAGACACGGUCCAGACUCCUACGGGAGGCAGCAGUGGGGAAUAUUGGACAAUGGGCGCAAGCCUGAUCCAGCCAUACCGCGUGGGUGAAGAAGGCCUUCGGGUUGUAAAGCCCUUUUGUUGGGAAAGAAAAGCAGCAGGUUAAUACCCCGCUGUUCUGACGGUACCCAAAGAAUAAGCACCGGCUAACUUCGUG